CUACGGGCGGCAGCAGUGGGGAAUAUUGGGCAAUGGGCGAAAGCCUGACCCAGCAACGCCGCGUGAUUGAAGAAGGCUUUCGGGUUGUAGAAAUCUGUCCUUGGGGACGAAAAAAAUGACGGUACCCAAGGAGGAAGCCCCGGCUAACUACGUGCCAGCAGCCGCGGUAAUACGUAGGGGGCGAGCGUUGUCCGGAAUUACUGGGCGUAAAGGGUGCGCAGGCGGCGCUUUAAGUCAGAUGUGAAAUACCCAGGCUUAACCUGGGGGGUGCAUUUGAAACUGGAGUGCUUGAGUGCAGGAGAGGAAAGUGGAAUUCCUAGUGUAGCGGUGAAAUGCGUAGAUAUUAGGAGGAACACCAGUGGCGAAGGCGACUUUCUGGACUGUAACUGACGCUGAGGCACGAAAGCGUGGGGAGCAAACAGGAUUAGAUACCCGCGUAGUC
rnacentral:rRNA from 1 species